UGUGAAGUAACAUCGUGACGUGUGAAUUGAAUUUUAAACUUUUUUUUUUUGUGCUUUUUGAACAAUAAGUGAUACAAUCAGUGAAUAAUUUUAAACUAUGACAACCGUACGACAUCAUAGAACAUGGUUUAACUACGUUUUUCGCAGUAUUUUUUAAGGGGCGAGAGUGUGGCAACGCAACGACGUGGUAGCAAGGGAAGCAUGCGAAGAAAAGAGGGCGGAGGAAGAUUUGUGGUCGCGGGGGAAAGGAAGGGUUCCCAAGGAAUCGCGUUAGAGGAAGGGAGAUCGUCGAAAAUUGUCGAUGCAGUUGGUCGAAGCGUGUGAGAGGCGGCCAGGAUGGAAAACGGGGUGGUGAACGGUGGACAAGUUGGUUCUCAAGUGUCGUUAAGAAGUUAAUCGCAGCCAUGCCGAACGAGACAAAUGCCACGGACGAUUUUCUCGAUUACGAUAUCAACGACUCGUUGAGCCACUUCGAUUGGGCGGAACUGGGGCCUGUCCUCGUCGUAUACUCCCUCACGUUUUUCCUCGGAUUAAUCGGAAACGUCGUCAUCAUUGGUUCGACACUGUGCCCCAGACUGAGACCUUUACCAGCGACACCGACCAACGUCUUUCUAGGUGGUUUGGCAACUGCCGAUCUUUUGCUUAUACUCUUUUGCAUUCCCGUGAAGGUGGCGAAGCUGUUCUCGUACACGUGGACUAUGGGCCUGUUUCUAUGCAAGUCGGUGCACUAUAUGCAGAGCGUCUCGGCUAUUUGCUCGGUCGUCACGUUAACCGCAAUGUCGAUCGAAAGAUAUUACGCCAUAGUUCACCCUAUGCGGGCCCAGUACACGUGCACGAUAAGCCAGGCUCGCAAAAUAGUAAUUACAACUUGGGUGGCGUCCUUCCUUCUCGGUAUACCAAUGAUCUUCACGCAGACACACAAGGAAGUCGGAUUGAGGGUAAUCGCUUACUGGUGCGUUCGUGAUUCGGAAGGUGGACUUUUAUGGCGCGCCCACGAGGUUUAUAUGCUGGUGUUGGUCCUGGUGUUACCCCUAGCCGUGAUGGCGUAUUGUUACACGGCCAUUUGCUGGGAGAUUUGGCGAGUCAUGAAACGCCGAUACCACAUGACAUCACGCCGCGUAUUGAAUCCAAGUAACGUGGACGCAGAAUCCAUACCCAUGACACAGAGGAAUAGCGUGCGAAACAAUAAUCGUCGUUCUCAACGAGAGGACAGUCAAACAGAAGAAGAAUCUCGUACGAUAAGACAGGUGGUGAAGAUGUUGGUGGCCGUGGUGGUGUUGUUCGUCAUUUGCUGGGGUCCAAUUCUCGUGGAUAACAUGCUAACAGCUUAUGGAUACCUGCCACGCGUAAAAGUUGGCACGUACAAGCAUCUUAACACCGCUUUUCAGCUGAUGGCUUAUUUUAACAGUUGCAUAAAUCCAAUCGUUUACGGGUUUAUGUCGAAACACUUCAGGGAGAGUUUCUUGGCCGCUGCCUGCGGCAGCUGGUGGAUCUGUUGUCCCCGGAGAGGGUACAGGGCGCCGGUGAAGAGGCAUCCGAGCCUAAGUCAGACAAGGACGACCAGCAUAAGGUGGACGCGAAACUCCUUCCAGGAGUCGAAGUAUCGAAACUCGAGCGACAACCAUCUCGUAGCACAUCCGUGAAUUAAACAAUUUGGCAACGUAGGUCCAUCAGCAUCCGAAAUAUCAUAUAUAGAGAUGGACUUGAUUAUUUCGUCAUGCCCGGCCCACGUCGAGGCACUUGUUUCAUAGGUAAAAACUGGCCGGCCAUUGAACCAUGCCAGAAGAGGCUAGAAAGAGGAAGAAACCGUUCCUAAUGAGAAAGACGAUGCUACUUCGAGCUUACUUCGUUAUUGUUGAAUAAUCAAUUUAAAUUUCGAAACGAUUUUUCACCAUUUUUUCGCCAAAUCUCGUAUCUUCCUCAAGCUGAUGCAAAUGCUGAAUACUCAUAUUUGAAGGUAUAUGGAUAAGAUUUUGAAACAUGGAUCUGGAAUAUUGAAAGAACGAAACUUUCAAGAUCUAACAUAAUUCGAUAUUUAAAUAAUAAUAUAAUAAAAUAAUAUAAAAAUAAAAAUCAUAUACGAAUCGAUAAAAUCAUUUACGAAUCGGACAAAAUCUUUUUCAAUCGUCGAUAUUUUUAAGUGAUCACGAUGAAAAAGGGGAGAAACAUUGCGAAGCUUGAAUAGGGUAAACUCUUUCUCAAAUCUCUGAUUAAUUGUAAAGCAAUGUAAUCUAUGUGUCUAUUUAUUUGUACAUACAUAAAUAUGUAUAUAAUAUUUUUCAUUAUUCAUAAAACUGCAUGCAGAUCACCAUACGAAGCAAAUAAAAGAAGAAAGAAUAAAUAAAAAAAAAAAAAAAAAAA